UACGAAGGGUGCAAGCGUUGCUCGGAAUUAUUGGGCGUAAAGGGUAGGUAGGUGGUUACGUAUGUCUGGGGUGAAAUCCCUGAGCUCAACUCAGGAAGUGCCUUGGAAACGGCGUAACUAGAGUGCUGGAGAGGUUCGCAGAAUUCCCGGUGUAGCGGUGAAAUGCGUAGAGAUCGGGAGGAAUACCAGAGGCGAAGGCGGCGAACUGGACAGCUACUGACACUCAACUACGAAAGCGUGGGGAGCAAACAGG
rnacentral:rRNA from 1 species